rnacentral:rRNA from 1 species
GAUGAACGCUGGCGGCGUGCCUAAUACAUGCAAGUCGAGCGAACAGACGAGGCGCUUGCUCCUUUGACGUUAGCCGCAGGCGGGUGAGUAACACGUGUAUCAUCUACCUAUAAGUCUGGGAUCUCUUGGGGAAACCGGCGCUAAUCCCGGAUAAUCUCUUGCACCGCAUGGUUCAAUAGUGAAAGACGGUUUUGCUGUCACUUCUAGAUGGAUCCGCGCCGCAUUGGCUAGUUGGUAGGGUAACGGCCUAUCACGGCGACCAGGCGUAGCCGACCGCCGGGGGUGGUCGCCCACAUGGGAGCUUGGACACGGUCCAUACUCCUACGGUAGGCAGCAGUAGGGAAUCUUCCGCAGUGGGCGAAAGCUUUACAGAGCAACGCCACGUGAGAGAUGAAGGUCUUCCGUUCGUAAUACUCUGUUAUGAGGGAAAAACAAAUUUGUAAGUAGCCAUGCACGUCGUGACGGUAACGGAUCAGAAAGCCACGGCUAACUACGUG